AAAAAGGAAAAAAAACCAGGACACUCACCGUCAGCCGGGCUGCCACCACAACAGGGCCCUUUCUUUCCGUACCUACCCACCAGAUGUCUUCCCACAUGGCAGAGUCUUCUUGCUCAUUCCAGCAGCUGUUUCUAAUUAGUUAUUAGCUCCUGUAUGUCCCUCUACAAAAGACAUGUUCAGUUACUAGCAAGACUCUCAAUGCACAAGCGCAUUCAGUGUCUUCAUUUAUCUUAAUGAGGAUUGUGGCACAAUGUCGGUGGGGCAUCAUCCACACACUUUAGAGAGCGAGAGGUGUCAAGGCGGAGACAAGAGUCUUGCUGCUAAUGGAACGGGCUUGAGGUGCAUGCCUACAGCCUUGCAACCUCACAAAAGCAGAGACCACAGAGUAACACCCUUUACAUCACAACUAAUAGUCAGCAGGCUCACUUACUCCAUUCCAACAAAUUAUCCAGGUACUUGGGGUAGCAUGUACAUAAUGCAGUCAGGAUUUCAAUUUCAUAUUGUUUUUGAUUGAGAAAUGACAGGAAGAGAGGCAGACAAGGCACCAAAAAAAAACAUGAAAAGAACUGAAAAAAGUACCUGACAUGAAAAAUAUUCAGACAACCUGAUUAGAAU